rnacentral:rRNA from 1 species
UUGAGAGUUUGAUCCUGGCUCAGGACGAACGCUGGCGGCGUGCCUAAUACAUGCAAGUGGAACGCAUUGGUAACACCGGACUUGCUCCAGUGUUACUAAUGAGUCGCGAACGGGUGAGUAACGCGUAGGUAACCUGCCUGAUAGCGGGGGAUAACUAUUGGAAACGAUAGCUAAUACCGCAUAAGAGGAGUUAACUCAUGUUAACUGUUUAAAAGAAGCAACGGCUUCACUAUCAGAUGGACCUGCGUUGUAUUAGCUAGUAGGUAGGGUAACGGCCUACCUAGGCACCGAUACAUAGCCGACCUGAGAGGGUGAACGGCCACACUGGGACUGAGACACGGCCCAGACUCCUACGGGAGGCAGCAGUAGGGAAUCUUCGGCAAUGGACGCAAGUCUGACCGAGCAACGCCGCGUGAGUGAAGACGGUUUUCGGAUCGUAAAGCUCUGUUGUAGGGGAAGAACGUGUGUAAGAGUGGAAAGCUUACACAGUGACGGUACCCUACCAGAAAGGGGACGGCUAACUACGUGCCAGCAGCCGCGGUAAUUAA